AGAGUUUGAUCAUGGCUCAGAACGAACGCUGGCGGNNNUAACACAUGCAAGUCGCGUGNNCAGUUUCCGUAGCAAUACGGGGAUGGGCGCACGGGCACGGGUGCGUAACACGUGGGCAAUCUGCCCUCCGAUGGGGAAUACCCCCGCGAAAGCGGGACUAAUUCCGCAUAACAUUCCUUGGAUUAACUUUCGAGGAUUCAAAGCAGCAAUGCGUCGGAGGAGGAGCCCGCGCCCGAUUAGCUAGUUGGUGAGGUAACGGCUCACCAAGGCAAUGAUCGGUAGCUGGUUGAGAGGAUGCCAGCCACACUGGAAUGAGACACGGUCCAGACUCCUACGGGAGGCAGCAGUGGGGAAUCUUGCACAAUGGGCGAAAGCCUGAUGCAGCGACGCCGCGUGGGGGAUGAAGCUUUUCGGAGUGUAAACCCCUUUCGACUGGGACGAAUGCCUCGCAAGAGGAGUGACGGUACCAGUAUAAGAAGCCCCGGCUAACUACGUGCCAGCAGCCGCGGUAAGACGUAGGGGGCCAGCGUUGUUCGGAAUUACUGGGUGUAAAGGGUUCGUAGGCGGUGUGGCAAGUCGGGAGUGAAAUCUCUGGGCUCAACCCAGAGACUGCUUCCGAAACUGCUGUGCUUGAGUGUGAGAGAGGCUCGUGGAAUGCAGGUGUAGCGGUGAAAUGCGUAGAUAUCUGCAGGAACACCCGUGGCGAAAGCGGCGAGCUGGAUCACUACUGACGCUGAGGAACGAAAGCUAGGGGGGCAAACAGGAUUAGAUACCCUAGUAGUCC
rnacentral:rRNA from 1 species